rnacentral:rRNA from 1 species
UAGGGAAUCUUCCACAAUGGACGCAAGUCUGAUGGAGCAACGCCGCGUGAGUGAAGAAGGCUUUCGGGUCGUAAAACUCUGUUAUUGAAGAAGAACGUGUGUGACAGUAACUGGUCAUGCAGUGACGGUAUUCAAUCAGAAAGUCACGGCUAACUACGUGCCAGCAGCCGCGGUAAUACGUAGGUGGCAAGCGUUGUCCGGAUUUAUUGGGCGUAAAGCGAGUGCAGGCGGUCUUUUAAGUCUGAUGUGAAAGCCUUCGGCUUAACCGAAGAAGGGCAUCGGAAACUGGGAGACUUGAGUGCAGAAGAGGAGAGUGGAACUCCAUGUGUAGCGGUGAAAUGCGUAGAUAUAUGGAAGAACACCAGUGGCGAAGGCGGCUCUCUGGUCUGUAACUGACGCUGAGGCUCGAAAGCGUGGGUAGCAAACAGGAUUAGAUACCCUGGUAGUCCA